rnacentral:rRNA from 1 species
CGGGGUCGCCUUGUUUGGCUAGCUUAACACAUGCAAGUCGAGCGAGGGCUUCGGCCCUAGCGGCGGACGGGUGAGUAAAGCAUAGUCAUUUACCCCUUGGUGCGGAAUAUAUUCGAGAAAUCGGAGGCAAAACCGCAUGUGCUCUACGGAGGAAAGAUUUAUCGCCAAGGGAUAAUAUUAUGUCGGAUUAGCCAGUCGGUGGGGUAGCGGCCUACCGAGGCGAGGAUCCGUAGCCGGCCUGAGAGGGUGAACGGCCACACCGGGACUGAGACACGGCCCGGACUCCUACGGGAGGCAGCAGUGGGGGAUAUUGGACAAUGGGGGCAACCCUGAUCCAGCCAUGCCGCGUGAGUGAGGAAGGUCUUAGGAUUGUAAAGCUCUUUUAUCGGGGAUGAUAAUGACCGUACCCGAGGAAUAAGCCCCGGCUAACUCCGUGCCAGCAGCCGCGGUAAGACGGAGGGGGCUAGCGUUGUUCGGAAUUACUGGGUGUAAAGGGCGCGUAGGCGGUUUCGUGUGUCAGAGGUGAAAGCCCCGAGCUUAACUUGGGAAUUGCCUUUGAAACUGCGGGACUUGAGAUAUGGAGAGGCAAGCGGAAUUCCGAGUGUAGCAGUGAAAUGCGUAGAUAUUCGGAGGAAUAUCGGCGGCGAAGGCGGCUUGCUGGCCAUAUACUGACGCUGAGGCGCGAAAGCACGGGGAGCAAACAGGAUUAGAUACCCUGGUAGUCCGUGCCGUAAACGAUGUGGACUUGCCGUCCGAGGCUGAGGUCUUGGGUGGCGGAGCUAACGCGUUAAGUUCACCGCCUGGGGAGUACGACCGCAAGGUUA